rnacentral:rRNA from 1 species
GACGAACCGUGCGAACGUUGUUCGGAAUCACUGGGCUUAAAGGGCGCGUAGGCGGGUCACCAAGUCCGGGGUGAAAUCUUUCGGCUCAACCGGAAAAUUGCCUUGGAUACUGGUGGUCUUGAGGGAGGUAGGGGCAUGUGGAACUUCCGGUGGAGCGGUGAAAUGCGUUGAUAUCGGAAGGAACGCCGGUGGCGAAAGCGACGUGCUGGAUCUCUUCUGACGCUGAGGCGCGAAAGCUAGGGUAGCGAACGGG